rnacentral:rRNA from 1 species
CCUACGAGUGUCUGCAGUGAGGAAUAUUGGUCAAUGGCCGUAAGGCUGAACCAGCCAAGUCGCGUGAAGGAAGCAGGAUCUAUGGUUUGUAAACUUCUUUUAUAGGGGAAUAAAGGUAUGCACGUGUGGAUAUUUGCAUGUACCCUAUGAAUAAGCAUCGGCUAACUCCGUGCCAGCAGCCGCGGUAAUACGGAGGAUGCGAGCGUUAUCCGGAUUUAUUGGGUGUAAAGGGUGCGUAGGUUGGUUUGUAAGUCAGGUGUGAAAGUUUGUGGCUCAACCAUAGCAUUGCAGAUGAUACUGGGAGACUAGAGUGAGUGAGGGGGAGGCGGAAUGCUCGGUGUAGCAGUGAAAUGCGUAGAUAUCGAGAGGAACACUGAUUGCGAAGGCGGGUUACUGGACAAUAACUGACGCUGAGGCACGAAGGCGAGGGGAGCGAACGGGAUUAGAUACCCCAGUAGUC